AGAGUUUGAUCCUGGCUCAGGAUGAACGCUAGCGGCAGGCCUAACACAUGCAAGUCGAGGGAGAAGCCCUUCGGGGCAGAAACCGGCGCACGGGUGCGUAACGCGUAUGCAACCUACCUUUCACAGGGGGAUAGCCCGAAGAAAUUUGGAUUAAUACCCCAUAAUAUUAUUGGAUGGCAUCAUUUGAUAAUUAAAAUUACGAUGGUGGAAGAUGGGCAUGCGUCCUAUUAGCUAGUUGGAGUGGUAACGGCACCCCAAGGCUACGAUAGGUAGGGGUCCUGAGAGGGAGAUCCCCCACACUGGUACUGAGACAGGGACCAGACUCCUACGGGAGGCAGCAGUGAGGAAUAUUGGUCAAUGGUCGGAAGACUGAACCAGCCAUGCCGCGUGCAGGAAGAAUGCCUUAUGGGUUGUAAACUGCUUUUAUAUGGGAAGAAUAAGGAGCACGAGUGCUUUGAUGACGGUACCAUAUGAAUAAGCAUCGGCUAACUCCGUGCCAGCAGCCGCGGUAAUACGGAGGAUGCGAGCGUUAUUCGGAAUCAUUGGGUUUAAAGGGUCUGUAGGCGGGCUAUUAAGUCAGGGGUGAAAGGUUUCAGCUUAACUGGGAAAUUGCCUUUGAUACUGGUAGUCUUGAAUAUCUGUGAAGUUCUUGGAAUGUGUAGUGUAGCGGUGAAAUGCUUAGAUAUUACACAGAACACCGAUUGCGGAGGCAGGGGACUAACAGACGAUUGACGCUGAGAGACGAAAGCGUGGGGAGCGAACAGGAUUAGAUACCCUGGUAGUCCACGCUGUAAACGAUGGAUACUAGCUG
rnacentral:rRNA from 1 species